rnacentral:rRNA from 1 species
UACGGGGGGGAGCAAGCGUUGUUCGGAUUUACUGGGCGUAAAGGGCGCGUAGGCGGUCGUGACAAGUCACUUGUGAAAUCUCCGGGCUUAACUCGGAACGGUCAAGUGAUACUGUCGGACUAGAGUACAGAAGGGGCAACUGGAAUUCUCGGUGUAGCGGUGAAAUGCGUAGAUAUCAUUUGGAACGCCAAUGGUGAAAACAGCUUGCUGGGGGUUUGCUGACGCUGAGACACGAAAGCCAGGGGAGCGAACGGG